GUCGCUCACAUGCUCUGGCCUGCAUAUUUGGGAGGGGAAGAGCGCCUCCUUGCCAAUGUGCUGCAAAGUGCUCAGCCAUGAGAAUUGCCACAAAUCCUGUGGAGCAUGCACCUUUGGAAGCAUCAGGCUGGAGCUUUGACACACAAAAGAAUUUUGGAAAGCCAAGUGGCCCUUGCCAAGGUUUUAGAGCUGGGAUUUAUCAAAGGCUUACCUGCCACACUAGUCAUAAGGAGCUCCAGGUGUCUGGGGCUCACCUGAAGCCACCUGUGAUUUCCGUAGGGCCGUGUGGGAGCUAUGGGUAAGCGCCUACUCCAGCUCUUGGGUAGGCCUACUUUGAUCAAAUGUUCUUGCAUCGUAAACAUUAGUCAUAGGAAAGUGAGACUUCUGUGUUCUCUGUAGGUUUGUCUUCUCCUGAGGAAGUGGAUGCCAUGUGUCACUUUGCAGAUGGAUCAAGUGCAGGAGGUGCCUGUUGGAGACGCAGAGCUCUGCAGCAGCAGGUGAGCUGAUGCUGCAACCUGCUAAACGCCGCUCCUGCGGAGCGCCAGGGCCCAGAGUGCACAUGGCUCUCAGGCUCCGUGAAAAGCUUGCAGUGAGCUCAGCCACUGAAAAGUCACUACGAAGAUGGAAAGCAAAAUGAAAACCGAGUCCUCGACACCGCUUCCUGGAGCUGUUCUGUGCAGAAGUUGAGUGAAGAUACUGCAGCGAGCCCUGGGUCUGAACGCCUGUGUGCUGACUCUAGACCUGCUCCUCAGCCCCAGUUUUCUCUGAAAAACCAGGAUUCUAGCACAACUCGUACCCCCAUUCUUUUCAGUCCUGCACCCACCAGCGAGCCGCAAGGCCCAGGAGCUACUGGCCCUGUUUUCCUGUCUCCAGUACUGGCCUUUGAUUUAUGAGAUGUCCCCUGUCUCCCCUGCUUCUGACCUCCCAGGAUGGCAUUUGGUGAUUUCUUGAUGUUCUCUUGCUUUGGCAUUAAAAUAUGGAUGGGAGUGUCAUUUCCAGAUCUUUUCCAGACCUGUGCAAUUCUUUCCAUUCUUCAUAACAGCCCAUGACCCACCUUCCUCUGUUUCAGCCACAAAGCUAGCCAUGCCUGUGUGCGCACUGCUGUUUCUCAUUGUUAAUAUUUUAACUGUUAUUAAAAAAAAAACUUUCUUUUAAACUGUGUGUGUAUGGUUUUAAAAAUUGACGCACUUCCAGAGCUCUCAACUUCUGCAGUCUUUCUGAGGUCCGUGUUCCUCUUCUUCAGCUGGGAAGCAAAUGCUUGACUU
rnacentral:lncRNA from 1 species